rnacentral:tRNA from 1 species
GGGGAUUUAGCUCAGUGGUAGAGCGCUUGCCUAGCAAAUGCAAAGCCCUGGGUUCAGUCCCCA